AGUAGCAAAAUAGCGGCUUUGAUUCACCUUUCUCUUGAGAGAUGUUACAGAAUAUUUUGUAAGUUGCAAUGUCAUCUUUACAUCAGUUGUAUUUUCCUUUUCCAGUGAUCUCGGAAUAUUUUUUUUCCUGGGGUUUAUGUGCCAUCUUAUGAAAACAUGUAGAAGUCUUCCAACUUGCUUUAAUGUCCUGGAAGGUUGACCUUAGAAAUAUUCACCCUACCCUGGAGAUGAUGAAUUUGUCACCAAAGUAGUUGUAUUAGGCCAUUUAGCAUCAUGUUGAUCCAGCAGCAAUAAAGCGUUACUUCAUUGAGACUGAUGGAAAUAACGCUUCAAUAGCCAUAAAUCCACCUGCCUGCAUGUUGCAUUAUCCACCUUCUCAAACAUCAGCCCAUUCAGCCUUCAUGCCAAGCAGCUUCCACUGUAGACUUCGGUCCUGAAUGUCUUUGUGUAUCUGAGGUGGAUCUUCAAGUUCCAGAUAAAAAGGAGUAUGCUCACAUUGAGAAAACAUUUCUGCUUCCUCGAUCUGCAGCCUAGGACAAAGGAUUCUGUACCAGAAAUAGAACUGCAGAUGGAAAUGGCCUACGAGGGUGAUAACUCUUCUGUCUGUGCCAUCAGAAGUGCUUGCUGCUUCUCUCCUGUAUCCUGUAGUCCAAGAAGCGUGCGGAGAGUUACCUCUACACAGAGAUGCUGCUAAGUGUGCCUUCUUGCUGAGAAAACAAUUACAAGGCAGAAUAACUUGUAAAAAUGUUAAGAUCUGCUUUUCAGGUAGUUACACAUGAGCACACCAGCACGUUGGUGUAUGUCCUUAGUUUGUUUGGUCAUCUGUUAUUUAGCUUCUUGAAUGCAUCUUUGUACCAAGCAUCUACAUGCAGGAUUAUGUGAGACAAGGGCCAGGAUGACUGUGCAGAUCGGUGCUGAGGGUGGCAGAGUGCCCCAAGGG
rnacentral:lncRNA from 1 species